rnacentral:rRNA from 1 species
UACGGGGGGGGCAAGCGUUUGUUCGGAAUUACUGGGCGUAAAGGCUCGUAGGCGGCCAACUAAGUCAGACGUGAAAUCCCUCGGCUUAACCGGGGAACUGCGUCUGAUACUGGAUGGCUUGAGUUUGGGAGAGGGAUGCGGAAUUCCAGGUGUAGCGGUGAAAUGCGUAGAUAUCUGGAGGAACACCGGUGGCGAAGGCGGCAUCCUGGACAAUUGGCUGACGCUCAGGCACGAAAGCGUGGGGAGCAAAGGG